CUCCUCUUUGGUUGAGAAUGUCAUAUAAACCUCAUUUUUCCUUACUACCUAUGAACCUCUCAUGUAUGUGUGGUUCACUAUAUAUACAUAUGUAAUUAAAUUUGGUAAUUUUCUCUUGCUAAUCUCUUUUAUGUCUAUUUGAUUUUUAGACCAGCCAGAAGAACCUAGAAAGGUAGAGGAAAAUUUGUCCCUGCCCCAGUGGUGAAUCUGAACUUCACUCACAUUGCAAAGAGUUCUCUGCAAGGUGUGGAUCAUAUAUAAUAUGCCCUGGCCAGUGUGGUCCAGUGGUUGGAGCAUAGGCCUGCGCACCGAAGGGUCAAGGGUUGUACCUGGGUUAAAGGUUCAAUCCCUACUACAGUUGGGUGACUCUUGCUACAUGAACUUAAGCCCACCAUAGCAACAACAAUAGAAGAACCCUGCUUCCGAGUUACAUUUUCUCCAUUGAAGUACCUGCCUUAAUGCCACAAGAAUACAGAGAGAAAG